CCCGCCACUGUGCAAGUCUGUAAAAGUGACCGUGUACUGUCCAGUGGAGGCUCAUAUUGACCCAGCUCUAGGAAGCAGGGCUGCUCAGCUCAAUGGGUAACUCUGUGCCGAAAGACCUGGAACAACU